rnacentral:rRNA from 1 species
GACGUAGGGCGCGAGCGUUGUCCGGAUUUAUUGGGCGUAAAGAGCUCGUAGGCGGCUUGUCGCGUCGACUGUGAAAACCCGUGGCUCAACCAUGCGGUCUGCAGUCGAUACGGGCAGGCUAGAGUUCGGUAGGGGAGACUGGAAUUCCUGGUGUAGCGGUGAAAUGCGCAGAUAUCAGGAGGAACACCGGUGGCGAAGGCGGGUCUCUGGGCCGAUACUGACGCUGAGGAGCGAAAGCGUGGGGAGCGAACAGG